GGCUCAGAUUGAACGCUGGCGGCAUGCUUUACACAUGCAAGUCGAACGGCAGCACAGGGAGCUUGCUCCCGGGUGGCGAGUGGCGCACGGGUGAGUAAUACAUCGGAACGUGUCCUGUUGUGGGGGAUAACUGCUCGAAAUGACUGCUAAUACCGCAUAAGCGCACAGGAUUGCAUGAUCUGGUGUGAAAAACUCCGGUGGUAUAAGAUGGACCCGCGUCUGAUUAGCUGGUUGGUGAGGUAACGGCCCACCAAGGCGACGAUCAGUAGCCGACCUGAGAGGGUGACCGGCCACAUUGGGACUGAGACACGGCCCAAACUCCUACGGGAGGCAGCAGUGGGGAAUAUUGCACAAUGGGGGAAACCCUGAUGCAGCGACGCCGCGUGAGCGAAGAAGUAUUUCGGUAUGUAAAGCUCUAUCAGCAGGGAAGAAAAAAAUGACGGUACCUGACUAAGAAGCCCCGGCUAACUACGUG
rnacentral:rRNA from 1 species